GGUUCAAGACCUUGUUUUCUUGCGAUGCUCUUACAAGAGAGAAAUUCAGCAAAUAUCUCAGUCUGGUAGAAUUUUUUAAAUUGACCGCCCUGAUCCAAUAAAGACGAUGCUUUGGAUGGAAGCAUGGCUCGUCUGCCGGUUAGGCAUUUGGUAGAACUGUCCAUUAGCAAGCUUUUGAUUGCUCUUUUUGUUUUUGUUGUUCCUAUAGAGAUAAGAAUGAGAGAGUGCUCCUUGGAUUUUCUGCUCAUCCAUAUGCCAACACAUUGAGCAUUAUUUUCAUUAUGCUCAAAAUAAUACAAGAAUGAUGUAUGUGACGAUUCUUUGGGAUAACGGUUCAAACAUGACAUGAAAAUCAACUUACAGGAGCAGCAAAAGAGGAGAAGUAGUAGGAUCAAUUUAAGCAGAGGUGAAAUGUGAUGAGGAACUAAAACCAUUUUCUGGCUAUAUCUGAGACCAUUAUUUUUGGAAGGAGGAUAGCAAGCUAUCUACAAGCAAGUUAUUACUUUCUAAUUUUAUUCUUUCAUACAUAUAUUACAUAAAGAACUCUCCCCCCCCAAGAACUGAGUUUGGAUACAUUCAGAUGCUUCUGGUCUCAUAAGGAGGAUAUGACGAACUCCCUUUCUUGCCAUUUUCCCCUGGUGUUUUGGAGGCAUGUUUUCCCCAACCUGAAGAUAACCUUGAUUGUUCAAGAAUAUUGGCCCUGAUGGACUAUUAUGAAUUAUUCUACAAUGAAUUACUCCUGUCCCCCUUUAAAUAGCUAUCACAAUGGUACUUAGACUUAUAUAUCAUCUCGUAGUGCUUUACAGCACUCUCUGGGUGUUGGCAUAUUGCCCCCAACAAUCUGUGUCCUCAUUUUGUUGACCUUAGAAGUCAACAAAAUUAGUGGUUAGUAUCAUAUUUUGUGGUAAUCAAUUCCUCAGGCUAAUUACAUAUUGUGUGAAUAAGUACUUUUUGUGUGUUUCCCCUAUGCCAUGAUAAUUUUAUAUAUCACAAUCAUGUUCCCUGCUUACUUGAUUUUUUUUAAAAAGAAUCCUAAAUAUUCUAAUCUUUUCUGGCAAAGCUAUAUUUGAGCCCCUGUAUCAUUUUGGCUUCUCUCUUUUGCAUAUUAUAUCAUAUAAAUUUUCAAGUGUGGUAAAUGAGAAUUAUACACAGGAUUCCAGAUACAGAUAAUCUUCAUUUACAACUGCCUUGUUGACUAUUUGCGGUUACAAUGGUGAUGAAAAAGCAAUUUACAACCAAUCCUCACCUUUAUGACCUUCAUAGGUCUGUAAAGCAAAGGAAAACUGAAGUAAGAUCAUAAGCACAGUACUGGUUUCACUUAGCAACCACUUCAUUUAAGACUAAGUUGCUGACCCAAUAGUAGCUACUAUACAAGGACAAUCUAUAGAUCUGUAUUGAAUUAUAAUGUGAAUAGAAUAGAAUAGAAUAGAAUAGAAUAGAAUAGAAUAGAAUAGAAUAGAAUAGAAUAGAAUAGACCCUGGAGGUCUUCUAGUCCAACCCCCUGCUUAGGCAGGAAACCCUGAAAUGGUUUCCUGCCUAAGCAUACCAUACCAUUUCAGACAAAUGGUUUUAUUUUCAAUCUUUUUCUAAGGGAUCUCUAAUGUGGAUUUUUUUUGUAGUUGCUUCAUAUUGAAUCAACACUUUCACUGAACUAUCAGUUACAAUCUCAGUAUCUUUUUUCUGAUGACUGACAGAAAAUUAAAUUUCAUUAUUGAAAGCUAGUGUUUUUUAAACCAAUGUGCAUUACUUUUCCUUUUUAAAUUGAACCACCUUAACUAUUUGGUUGAUCAUUUAAUCCACUUUAACCCACUUUAAAGAGAUCCAUCUGAUACAUGGGGCUCCCCUUGAAGAGCACUCG